rnacentral:rRNA from 1 species
AAUAUUGGACAAUGGGGGCAACCUUGAUCCAGCCAUGCAGCGUGUGUGCAGAAGGUCUACGGUUUGUAAAGCAUUUUAAGAUGGGAGGAAGGGCUUUAGGCAAAUACCCAGAAGUCUUGACGUGACCAACAGACUACGCCCCGGCUAACUCAGUGCCAGCAGCCGCGGUAAUACAUAGGUUGCAAGCGUUAAUCGGAAUUACAGGGCGUAAAGAGCGCGUAGUUGGUUCAGUAGAAUGAGGGUUAAAUCCCCGGGCUUAACCUGGGAACGGCUUUCAUAACUGCUGAGCUAGAGUACGGUAGAGGGUAGUGGAGUAUCCUGUGUAGCGGAGAAAUGCUUAGAUAUAGGAAGGAACACCAGAGGCGAAGGCGACUACCUGGACUGAUACUGACACUGAGGUGCGAAAGCGUGGGGAGCAAACA